UACGUAGGGCGCAAGCGUUGUCCGGAAUUAUUGGGCGUAAAGAGCUCGUAGGCGGUUUGUCGCGUCUGCUGUGAAAACUCGAGGCUCAACCUCGGGCUUGCAGUGGGUACGGGCAGACUAGAGUGCGGGUAGGGGAGACUGGAAUUCCUGGUGUAGCGGUGAAAUGCGCAGAUAUCAGGAGGAACACCGGUGGCGAAGGCGGGUCUCUGGGACAGUUC
rnacentral:rRNA from 1 species